rnacentral:tRNA from 1 species
GCCGCGUUAGCUCAGCUGGUAGAGCAUCGCAUUCGUAAUGCGGGGGUCGCAGGUUCGAGUCCUGCACGCGGCACCA